UAAGUCGUUUGGUCGUUUCUGGUGGAGGUUUAAGUUCGAAUCCCAUCCGCAACAAUUUUUUUUUCCUCCUCACAGAUUUGGCAUCAGUUUUUAUGUGGCUCCUCACGAAAAAUUCCAAUCUCCCCCCAAUAUGCCUCACGAAAAUUUUAAUCUCCCCCCAAAUACCCUGUAUCCCUAAUCAUCACGCUUUCCUUUCCCUGUGUUAUCUUCUUUUUCACGAGACCCUCCAUCUUCUGGGUGCCAUCUCAAACGUCGAUCCCAGAGACGUUCGGCCACCUCCAGCCCUUCGUUCGUCACCGCCUCCGUCGCCGAUCCCAGAGACCUUCCACCACCUCCGGUGCUCCGUUCGUCACCAUCUCCGGCUUUCUCUCUUCGAUCGUUGCACACAGAGCUAAACUCGCUCCAUAAAAAUCGCAUAUCGACUCCACAUCGCAGCACACCCUCUGACCUCCCAUCUUCCGCGUGCCCGUUCGUCACCAUCACCGGCUGUCGUUGGUGAUGGCUGAUAGCGAUUUCAGUGUUGUGGAGGCUGGAAAAACACGAAGAAAUAGCCCAAUCGUUAUGAUUUUCAGCUUGUGAACACAAGAUGUGAAGAUCUUCAUCCAAGGGCUUAAGGGUUAUAAAAAGUUAUACUUCUGUAUAGAUUUGCUCAUGUAAGUGGACAUCCAUUUGUAUGAUUUUUUUUUAUGUAAAUUAAUUACUAGUAAUAUCUUGUACAAAGUAGGAUAAUGCAUUCAAAUGUAUUUUGUGUGUAUGAAUUGUAUUGGUUUGUAUUUAAAUUACUUUUAUGAAAUAAAUUGAGUAAAUGCAAAGUUCAAUGUUGUAUGGUA